rnacentral:lncRNA from 1 species
CAGGAUUAUAGUUUUGUAAGACUCAUCAGUGACUCUAAUUUUCACAUGUCUAUGUAAAUUACAAUCUUGAUUUUGAACCCUUUAUUGUGUAUAUUGUUUAACUGACAUUACCGCAAACAUGACACUCAUGUCGCUUAAUAUCACCUGUAUGUGUCAUGUGUGAACCGUUCUCGUGUGUCUUUGUAAAUUACCAAGCUGACUAAACCCUUUACCACAUAAAUUACAGUUAUGAGGUUUAUCGCCUGUAUGUAUUCUCAUGUGAAUUUGUAAGCUAACAAGCUGAGUAAACCGUUUACCACAUACAUCACAGUCAUGAGGUUUAUUGCCUGUAUGUGUUCUCAUGUGAAUUUGUAAAUUACUCUGCUCACUGAACCUUUUACCACAUACAUCGCAGUCAUGAGGUUUAUCACCUGUAUGUAUUCUCAUGUGAAUCUGUAAACUACUCAGCUGAUUAAACUGUUGAUCACAUAAAUCACACUCAUGAGGUUUAUCACCAGUAUGUAUUCUCAUGUGUAUCUGUAAACUACCAUGUUGAAUAAAUCUUUUACCACACAAAUUGCACUCAUGAGGUUUAUCACCUGUAUGUAUUUUCAUGUGUCUCUGUAAAGAAGCAUAUAGACUAAACUGUUUACCACAUACAUCACAGUCAUGAGGUUUAUCAUCUGAAUGUGUUCUCAUAUGUGUCUGUAAAGUACAAUAUUGACUAAAACUUUUACCACAUACAUCACAGUCAUGACGUUUAUCAUCUCCUGCACGUGUCUCUGUAUGUGUUCUCAUGUGUCUCUGUAAAUUGCUAUCCUGACCAAACCUUUUACCACAUACAUCACAGUCAUAAGGUUUAUCUCCAGUAUGUAUUAGCAUGUGUCUAGUUAGGAAACUACCUCUGGAAAAAUCUCUACCACAAACAUCACAUUUGUAAGGUUUUUUAUCAAUAUGUGUUCUAACAUGUUUUGUUAAGUCACUCUUUAGACUAAAUUCUCUCGUACAAACCUCACAUUUAUGAUGUAUAUUAUCAGUCUCUGUUCUUAUGUGUCUCGUAAUAGUAUCAUUGAUUGUGACUAAAUCCUCUACCUCGUACAUCCUAUUACUAGGCAGUAUAUGUGGGUUCUUGUAAGACUAG